UACCUACUCCCUCCGUUCGGAAUUACUUGUCGCAGAAAUGGAUGUAUCUAGAUGUUCUAGAUACAUCCAUUUCUGCGACAAGUAAUUCCGAACGGAGGGAGUACAUC
rnacentral:pre_miRNA from 1 species